rnacentral:lncRNA from 1 species
CUGUCAAAAUAUGAGUCCAAUCUGUUAUCUUUAUCUGUAUCCGGAAAUCUUUUGGAAUCCAAUUUGAAUAUUACGUUCACUACUAAUGUCACAAUCCAGUAUGAUGUUGUUUGUAGAAUAAAAGUGUCAAUCCAAAUGCUGUGAAUACUAAUAUCUAUCAAUGUCUAUGUCCAAGUUUAAUUAUGAGAGUUUAACUUUAGUGUCUGUAUAUAUAGUGUUGUCAUGGAAAAUUCUGGAACACUCUAUAAUGGAACAUUGUGGAAAAUCCUGGAAAGUUACAACGGAAGUUUCUGGAAUAACGUAGAAGUUUAAAUUACGCAUCUUUUAUAAGGAUCAUUCUAGAAAGUUCCAAUCAUUCUGUGAUUGUUCCAGUGAUUCCUAAACUGCACAGUUAUAAGAUUAUUUGGUAAACAACUAUCAGGCCAU